GGCUGAGCCUUCACAUGAUCAGGAUGGAUCUUGCUAAGCUUACAAAAGUUACAUUUUGAGGCCACAGCUCCAAAACUCUUGAGGAAGAAUGAAUGCCAGACAUUGCGAGAGCGCAGAGCCUUCUUGAACAAGUGGGAGUCAGUUGCAACCUGGUUUGUGGAAUGUGGAUUGCUUAUAUUAGUCCAAAGAGGCAGGCAAAUGGACUAAGUGAUGUCGAUAGUUACAUCUCAGCGGAGUGCAAUAUGCCAGUACAGCAAGAAUAUCCCCCUCAAAUGAGCAUCUCUUUCCCCCUUCUGAACAAUUUUUUCUUUUUAAAAAUAGUGUGUGUCAGUUUUAGAGGUAUAUCAGAUAAGCACGAAAGUUUCGCAAACUAUUAUAUCAGUUCAAUACUAUUUAUUUGCUAAUUUUUAAAAACGAGUUGGGGAAUCAUCUUCAGUGGAGUACAAUAUGUUUAG